GACGAACGCUGGCGGCGUGCCUAAUACAUGCAAGUAGAACGCAGUUGCGAACGGGUGAGUAACGCGUAGGUAACUGCCUGGUAGCGGGGGAUAACUAUUGGCAACGAUAGCUACUACCUCCUACUACUAGAUGGACCUGCGUUGUAUUAGCUAGUUGGUGGGGUAAAGGCUCACCAAGGCAACGAUACAUAGCCGACCUGAGAGGGUGAUCGGCCACACUGGGACUUGGAAAAGGUCCAGACUCCUACGGGAGGCAGCAGUAGGGAAUCUUCGGAAAUGGACGGAAGGCUGACCGAGCAACGCCGCGUGAGUGAAGAAGGUUUUCGGAUCGUAAAGCUCUGUUGUAAGAGAAGCGGUAUCUUACCAGAAAGGGACGGCUAACUACGUGCCAGCCGCCGCGGUAAUAC
rnacentral:rRNA from 1 species